GACACGGAGAAGGUUUCAAGAAAGCAGGAGGUUAGGAAUGAGGAUAACAGGCUGGGCUGGUGGGAAGGAGUAAGAAUCUGAGGAGGAUGACACAGUAAAGGGUAUAAGGCCCAGAGAAGGUUGAAGGUUACUGAGAUGGUAUGCUCAAGGAGCAGAUUGGAGUCUAGAGAAAGAUUAAAGUCCUGGGACUGGGAAGAUAAGGAGGAGGCAUGUGGGAGAAAGCUGAGAUAAAAAGAGAAUCAGGAAGUCUGGCAGGAGAGGACAGGCUGCGUGAGUGAUGAGCAGGAGGGUACAGAGCUGGGAGACACCAUAAGGACUGUGAGAAGAUAAGGUGCUGAAGGUCCACUGAGGAGGCUGUAGGAAUACAAAAGACUGAGGACGAAGGUCAGAGACAGGAGACACUUAGAGGAUGGGUGAGAGCGGGAGGGUCAGGAAAACAGUAGAACUGUAGGUUUGGAAAGACCAGAAAAGCAGAGAGUUCUGGAAGGAGCUAGCUCCCCUAGCACACCUCCUGCCUAACCAAGCUGGGAAACUAAAAAGGCAUUGGUCUUCUGGGGGAUGGCUCAGCCCUUCACUGAACAUUUCAACUCGGAUCCUAGAGGUGCCAUUGUUUCUGAGGCAGUACGGCUAGCAGCUAAGUGAAGAGCCUGCCUAGAAGGAGAAGAAGGGCCUUUCUGGUACUUUUGGUCUUCCAUGGUGCCCUCGCUGUAUGAUAUCAUGGUGCACUCUAUUUGCAGUCUAUACUGCAGGCAGGCAGCGGAGCUUCAACAAAUUCAGACUUAACCUGGAUGACCUGACAUCCUCAUGUUUACAUUUCCAUGUGUGAUGGGACUCUGCAUGGUCAGCGCUGUCCGGUCAGAGAUGUGGUUUCUGAAGUUGUCACAUGUUGUUUUCUCCCAA
rnacentral:lncRNA from 1 species